rnacentral:rRNA from 1 species
UACGUAGGGUGCAAGCGUUAUCCGGAAUUAUUGGGCGUAAAGAGCUCGUAGGCGGUUUGUCGCGUCUGCUGUGAAAACUGGAGGCUCAACCUCCAGCCUGCAGUGGGUACGGGCAAACUAGAGUGCGGUAGGGGGAGAUUGGAAUUCCUGGUGUAGCGGUGGAAUGCGCAGAUAUCAGGAGGAACACCGGUGGCGAAGGCGGGUCUCUGGGCCGCAACUGACGCUGAGGAGCGAAAGCGUGGGGAGCGAACAGG